rnacentral:lncRNA from 1 species
GCGUGAUGGCCUCUGAUCUCCUUGGGAGAAAGGAGAGAAAAAGUGAUACCCGCAUCCUGCCGCUGGGGUGACCUGGCUGGCCCUGCGCCUUCAGAAAGGAACAUCUCUUCUGGACAUGUUCACGUACUGGCUAAGUUGGGUUUGUCCAGCAAAAAGUAGUAUCUUCCCACUCUGCAGAAACUGGUGAGUCUGCAGGUGAAGGAGGCAGACGCCUGUUUUUCUACUUCUGCACAUUAUUUGUACAUAGACUGAAAAGAAACAAUAUAAACUUAUUAGGAAGCAGAGGGCAUAUCUCCAUGCCUGGGGGAAUUUGGUGAAGGCAAAUGCAGCAAAAGGAAUUUUGAACAAAUUUUGGGCACGUUACCUCAGAAUCCUUCAUCCAAGCGUUUGUUUAUUCUGAAUUUAUCCUGGGCUCAUUCAGUCAGGAAAAGAGGAGGCUCAGGAGAGACCGUAUCCCUCUCUACAGCUACCUGAAAGGAGGUUGUAGCGAGGUGGAGGUCAGCCCCUUCUCCCAGGUAAACAGCGACAGGAUGAGAGGUAAUGGCCUGAAGUUGCUCCAGGGAGGGGAGGUUCACGUUGGAUAUCAGGAAAAAAGUCUUCUCAGAAAGAAAUAAUGCAUAUUGGAACAGGCUGCCAGGGGAGAUAGCGAUGUCACCGUCCCCGAAGGUGUUCAGAAACAUGCAGAUGUGGCACUGAGGGAUGUGGUUCUGUGGGCAUGGUGGUGGUGGGCUGAUGGACUAGAUGAUCUUAUAGGUCUUUUCCAACCGUAAUGAUUCUAUGAUUUUAUGAUUCUACAAUGUACGCGUAGGCUCUAGAGAUGUGCAGGUUGGUCAGCACAGACCUCCCCCACCUUGGGCCCGCUCCACGAAGAUCUAUACCAAAGCAUCUGGAAGUAAAGCUCAACGCUUGCCGCUCUCCUCCUCUAACGCUGAACUUUGUGAGACAGCACAGCAGUGUCUGAGGGACCGUAAGCCUGCUCUACUCCAAGCAGUCAGCCAAGCAGUCGACGUGGUAAUGCGUGGCUCUGUGCUGGCCCAUUUAUCCUUCUUUCAUUGCAUGUGGUGUAGAAGACUUUUGGGUCUUGAUUAGACACAAAGGACUGCUCUGGAUGGUUCUAACACAGCCUACCCAGGCCGUUCUUGCUGAAGUACAGGAGGAUAUUUGCAUGAAACUGUCUCCCCUUUACUCCUAGUCUCCUUUUCCCAUAUACAUUAGAUCUUUAGCAACACAACUAUUCCAGCUCAAACAUCACUCUUGGAUGUUCUCAAGCCUGUGAACCUUCCCUUGGGUAGAAGCAGCCCUUGUGGAUAUUACUAAUUACUCAUCAGUGAAACUGAACAUCCAGUU